rnacentral:lncRNA from 1 species
ACCACCCACCCCAUUUUCCCUGAGCCUAGCCGGCAAACUUUUAGUAGACAGAGAGUGCUGACGAGACGACACUUCCCGUGUCCGUUACAUAAUAAAUGGCGCCCAACGUGGGGCACGAAUGGUCCGUUUUCCCCAAUAACCUUCCCCAAUCCCUUCCGCAACCCAAUAUUGAUCCAAAUUUUAAAGUAGUUCAGUUUUUUUGUUAUAUAUCCAGCUCGGAACCGCUGGGAAUCUGAUCAUUGUCGGACCCAGACCAGUGGAUAUAUUGCAUAGAAGAAGAUCACAUUAGACUUCAUUAUAUCAUUUCAUCAGGAUACUAGGAACGAUAGUUCUGAGUAAAUUGGUUCUAUACCUAGUAGCGAAGAUGAAUGACCUUUAUUCUCUCGAGAUUAGUUGAGACUUGUUCAGACUGGAGAAUUCGGUCCUGUUCCUCAUUUUCUCGAAAGGAUCAUCACCCAAACUUUCUUUUCUUUCUUUCUGCUUACGGACUUAAGGUUAUAACAACCGAAGACAUUCCUUCUGCUGUGCUGGUGCCUGGUCGGAGACCCUCCCAAUCAUUGCCCAUAUUUUCGAAUUUAGAAUCAAAAAAAAAAAAAAAAAUCUUUCUG